rnacentral:lncRNA from 1 species
UACGCACGCUCGCAUGCCUGCGUGCUCACGAGCUCGCGCAUGCCGUACAGGCAUGUCCCAUCGCGCACACUAUAUGCGCAUGUCCCAUCACACACGCCUGUUGUGCGUCCCAUUGCAUGCGUCUGUAGCCCAUCCCAUCGUUGUGCACGUUUGUAGCUAGCCCUAUCGUCAAGCGCGGCUAUAAUGUAUGUCCUGUUCACGCACCUGUGCACGUUGUGUCACGUCCCCACCUGUUGCCUACUGCCCGACUGUCACCUAGCAUACAUGUAUGUAUUUUUCUUGGCUAUUUAAAGCCCUUUUCCUCCUCUCCUCUCUCCCAUUUUUUUCAUUUUUCUUCUUCUUCUUAACUUGGCCGAGAAAGAGAGAGAAACCAGAUAGAGAAAAACUAGA